AUUGAACGCUGGCGGCAGGCCUAACACAUGCAAGUCGAGCGGAUGAAGGGGGCUUUCUCCUGGAUUCAGCUGCGGACGGGUGAGUAAUUCCUAGGAAUCUACCUUGUAGUGGGGGAUAACGUCCGGAAACGGGCGCUAAUACCGCAUACGUCCUUAUGGUGAAAGGGGUGGAUCUUCAGUCCUCACGCUAUCAGAUGAGCCUAGGUCGGAUUAGCUAGUUGGUGGGGUAAAGGCCUACCAAGGCGACGAUCCGUAACUGGGCUGAGAGGAUGAUCAGUCACACUGGAACUGAGACACGGUCCAGACUCCUACGGGAGGCAGCAGUGGGGAAUAUUGGGCAAUGGGCGAAAGCCUGAUGGAGCCAUGCCGCGUGAGUGAAGAAGGUCUUCGGAUUGUAAAGCACUGUAAGUUGGGAGGAAGGGAAGUAAGUGAAUCUGUGGCUGUCUUGACGGUACCAACAGAGUAAGCAACGGCUAACUUCGUG
rnacentral:rRNA from 1 species